CCCAGUUCUGCCUGCUCUGGAACCUCUGAUUGGACGACAGCUGGAUGCAGCAUCUGUUUUGCGACGUCCUUGUCUGCCCUGAGCUGCUGUUGUACAAGAAGUCUCAUUCUGGGUUUUGAUCUGGUGGAACAAAAGGAGACCUCCAACAGCUUCAGGGGCAACAAGAAACAGAGGCAGGUUACCAGCAAACUCUUGAAUUCACUGUCUUUCUUGCUAUUUCUGAGGGCGGUGGGUAAGUUCCUCUCAGUUUUGAGCUCCACUGUCUUAACAUCAUGCUCCUGAUCUAAUCGGCUUUCCAGGCAUUUCUAUGGAGGGAGCUGUUGGUAGUUCAGACCCCAAUUCCCCACUUUGGAACCCCAGCUCUUGGUUCUGUCCCCAGUUUCCUGUUGGGAUCUGCUGGUGGUACACAUAACACCUUCUAUUGGCCAGUCUGCAGUGACCUCAUUGGUUACUGCUAGUGUAUUAAUGUGCAGGUAAAAGCUAUUGCAAAAGCCACAAAAUUGGUGGGGCUGGUUGAGCACUUAAAAGCUGUUGGAGUGCUUACCACCUAACUUAAAGACUCCUG
rnacentral:lncRNA from 1 species